ACCAAAAUACCGGUACUGUAUACAGUACUGUGCACAACGUAUGUGUGCAUGUGCUUGUAGAUAGUUAAAUAAAAUAAUAAACAUAUAUUUUAAACAUAUUUCUAAAGGGUUUACAACAGAAAACUGCUUGGUCAGUACCACAGAUGUUUUGAAGCAGAUUGUUAAAAUUCAAUUGCUCUUUUUCUGUGGCUGAAAGCCUGCUUGUAGACUACUGUAAAUGUCCUAAGGCUGUAAAACUCAAACAUCUGCUUCUGGUAUUUCAAACAAGAACAAACACAGAGAAGAAAUUGCUGAUACAGUUUGACUCAGGUCUAGUGUUUUUUAGUGAUACUUUUAACAAUAGAUUAAAUGAGUGGUUCACUCUUAGUGACAGACCUAAUUUCAUUGGUUGAGUCAAACCUGUUGGGGCCAUUUGCUCCCUGUUCAAUUUAGAAUAGAUUUUUAGAUUUUUCUGAACACUUUUAGAGCACGUCUAGGUCUGGCCUUAAGCUAUAUAUAAUGUUGACCCCAUUUGAGCUAGUUUGCAGCCUCAGCUCCUCAUGUGGGGGCUUUUUGGUCAGUCCUAAAUCAAGGCUAAAAUCUAAAGGUGACUUUGUUUUUGCCAUCAGGGUCCAUCGGUUUUGGCACACCCUGCCUGAGAUAAGGCUUGCAGAAUCAGUGACUUCAGUUAAAAUCUCUUCUCAACUUGGUUGUAUGAAUCUUCACGGCACCAGUGAACCGUCUCUACUUCUUUAGCUUCAGUACCUAUGGCUACAAUACUCACAUCAUGGAGGCCAUUUUAAUGAAAACGGCGUUCGUCAAAUUUCAACCUAUGAUAGACCUUUAGCUGACAGCUCAGACAGUAGCAGUAACACUGUUGUCCUGCAAUUGGCUGCUGGUGAUAAAGUGUACAUGGAACUGUGGGAUAAUGGCAGAGUGUUUGUCAACUUGAAUGGACACACAACCUUCAGUGGUUUUCUUGUCUUCCGUCUGUAAAUCAUUAGAGACAAAGCAUUGCAUUGUGCUUUUACACUGAGGAGAGAUGCUUAUGCAACAAUAUUUGUAAAAUCUGGGAAAUUGCUUUAUUUACAUUGUGGCACUGUCCCAAAGCAGGGUGCUGACAUGAGAAUUACAAAGUAUGAUUAUCUUAUCCAAAAUGAAAACAAACCUUUAUUGAAAAAUCUCAAAAACCCAUGCAUGUUUUUUUUUUAAUUUUAAAGUAAAUUUUAAUGAAAAUAUGAAUGUGCGAAGCUUCUUUAGAACAAUAAAUGCAAAACAUACUUCUUACAUUGUCUCUUUUCCUGUCUGUGGUGACUAAAGACAGCUUUCAGCUUGUUCUGCAAUGACAAAAUGUGUUCACCUGCCUUACACUAAAAGUAUGCCAACCAUGAACACGAGUGAAUAGCUUCAUCUUGUGUUCAUAGUUGGUUAUUGCAGUAGUUAGUGUAACUAUAUUUGUAUUCUUUGUUUUGUUAUAGAAAUAACUAUCAUCCCAUCCCUAACUAAAACAUGAAAAUCUUCAUUACAGUACCUUCUGAACACUGUGCAGUUAAUUUGAAUAUAUAGCACAAAAAUGCUCUAUCUUACAUAGAUAUCCUAUCGUUUGCAUGCCUCUAGGUUUCAUUGAGGUACUGUGUAAGAUAAAUUUACCUUGAUCAA